UAGGGUUUGGAACCCUAAAGGUAGAGUUUAGGGUUUGAAACCCUACAAGUAGGGUUUUCCUAUGGUUUAGGGUUUGAAACCCUAAAACCUAA
rnacentral:tRNA from 1 species